GCACCCUUGGUGUAUGGAAACACACGUCUUACAGUUGUCAUUUCACCGAUAUUACUCAAGCAAUCAAGAUGAGUCCGGGGUUCGACUCCCCGAGGGUGCG